AAUGGGCGAAAGCCUGACGCAGCGACGCCGCGUGAGGGAUGAAGGUCUUCGGAUCGUAAACCUCUGUCAGGAGGGAAGAACUGUACGGGUGCUAAUCAGCCCGUAUUUGACGGUACCUCCAAGGGAAGCACCGGCUAACUCCGUGCCAGCAGCCGCGGUAAUACGGAGGGUGCAAGCGUUAAUCGGAAUCACUGGGCGUAAAGCGCGCGUAGGCGGCUUUUUAAGUCAGAGGUGAAAUCCCACGGCUCAACCGUGGAACUGCCUUUGAUACUGGAAGGCUUGAGUGUGUGAGGGGAUGGUGGAAUUCCAGGUGUAGGAGUGAAAUCCGUAGAGAUCUGGAGGAAGAUCAGUGGCGAAGGCGACCAUCUGGCACAAUACUGACGCUGAGGUGCGAAAGCGUGGGUAGCAAA
rnacentral:rRNA from 1 species